AAAGCGUGCGCAGGCGGUAAUGUAAGACAGAUGUGAAAUCCCCGGGCUCAACCUGGGAACUGCAUUUGUGACUGCAUGGCUAGAGUACGGUAGAGGGGGAUGGAAUUCCGCGUGUAGCAGUGAAAUGCGUAGAUAUGCGGAGGAACACCGAUGGCGAAGGCAAUCCCCUGGACCUGUACUGACGCUCAUGCACGAAAGCGUGGGGAGCAAACAGGAUUAGAUACCCGAGU
rnacentral:rRNA from 1 species